rnacentral:lncRNA from 1 species
CUAAUCCUCCCUUCACCGACCACAAAGGUCAAGCCCAAACACUAAUCUUUGUGUCACACCCGGGUUUUAGGGGGUCCAAAGCCCGGGCGUAAACAUAAACACCAGGUGUGCUGGGACCAAGUCUCACACAUAUGAUGCAUAGUGGCUCAGGAUCGAAUGUCACAUCUUUACUACAUAACAGGAGUUCUAUACAAAAUAAAUAGAUAAUUACAUUAUAAGGAGACAACGGUCCAGCAACCCAAAGUUGACUGGGAGACGACGACCUAGACCUCUCACGAACUCGACACAGCAUCCUUCAUGCGCCUCAUCCUGUGGUACCUGUUCUUGACCUGUGGGGGGGGUGUGAGACAGCAAGAGUGAGCUCACAUACGUUCAUCGCUCAACAAGUUGUGGGGAAUAAUGUGUAUGAACUCGCCAAAGGUGGGAGCUCAUGUGAAGUGUAAGGCUUACCAAAGAGGAUGGUUAGAGCUGAGCAUUGCUUUUAAAGUUGGUCAAAAUUUUAUUAGCAAUUACUAAGUAUAAGUAAAUACCAACCCAAUUAAAUAGUAGAACAGAAGUAACAACAUCACCUGUACAACAUCACCUGCGAUGCAAUGCAUAUGACAAAUUGAGUUUAAUUCCAUAAUUUAAUCAUGUGAGUGUCCGAGCCGCUCAUGACCGUGAGCACGGCUAGUAUACCAGUUUUACACUCUGCAGAGGUUGCGCAUCUUUACCCACAAGUCAUGUUACCCAUCUGCCAAGGGAUCGCGACUUCCCAUACACCUCUACCGAGGAGGCGAGGCAGGGUAACACUACGAGGCCUUUACAAAGUUCCACUAGCUUCAGAAAACCCGCUACAGUUUAUAGGAAGCUCCAAUGCAGGAAUCCCUUGCAGGACCGCCAUCACAGCAAAAUCCUCCCGAGGGCCUCCCCAGGAAUCCCUUGCAGGACCGCCAUCACAGCAAAAUCCUCCCGAGGGCCUUCCCAGGAAUCCCUUGCAGGACCGCCAUCACAGCAAAAUCCUCCCGAGGGCCUCCCUACACUGACCACUCCCCUACUGCCCUUGCCCCUUUCGGGUAAGGUAGUCUUCCACUAGCUUUCCUAAUUAAUCGGCCAAGGGCGUCCCAUUAAACCCUUGUGGUAGCACUGUUUUCCCGGGUGGUUCUCCAUGUUCCAAUUAACAUAAUGAUCUUAUCAUGAACAGUGAUAAUAAACAGAUAAUAAAAGUGUGAUCAUGAAUAAUGUAUCUUCAUACCCAAAACCACAUAAAGCACUAGCAAGUACUACCCAAAAAGUUCAGUGGUAAACAAGGUAUAAAGAUAGACAAACUAGGGUAACCUAUUGGGUCCCAUCAAAUUAACCUAUGCAGAUCAUUAUGAUUAAUUAGAACAUGAGUGGGUAAAAAGAAGUGAUCAAGGGCACAACUUGCCUGGGACUUGAGAUUCCAGGUACCAGGAUGAUCUUCAGAUGACUCGUGACCUCACUGCUAGUCGUAGCAAUACAGACAAACAUGGUAUAGCUAAAAUUAACAUCACACCAAACAUAAGAACAAACUGAAUAAGGAUGAUCUAUGCGUUUCUACGAGACUAGCGCAAUUUGAACGGAUCAAAUCGGAGUUAAAACGGAGGAGAUACGAAUUUCUUGAGGUUUUAUGUAUUUGAUACGAGAUUAGCUAAGAAAUGAAUUUUAAUAUCAUUUUCGUGUUAAAAUAGAGACACUAAGUAUUAAAUAAUAUUAAUACAAAAUUAUAGGGACUGGGAUAGAUUAAAAGGAGUUAAAAUGCAUUUUCUAGGAAUUAAUUAAGUUCCUAUAAUUAUUCUCACACAAAAAUGUAUUUUCUAAAUGAAUUCCUUUGAUUUUCUGUUCUCUGGACCGAGCGCACUAUUUACAGAAAACACAGGGACUACGUCGCAAAUAUUCCAAGACUCAGUGUACAGCCGCAUAGGACGGCGGGUUUAUUUUUAAACUAAUCAGGGACUCUUUUGCAAUGUUACGCAGCCGAAAGGGUUUCGUGGGAUCUCGGUCGCACAGAUUACAAUAAACGGCCCAGAUUAAAUGAUGAAUCGGUACGCACCCGGGGUCACUGGAUUUCGAUCCAACGGCCCAAGAUCGCCCGGAUGAAACGGUACAGGGCCGACUAAUCUUGGUCGUUGGUGGCUUGAUCGGCGGCUAGGAUCGGAGGGGCCAACAGGUCACUACUAACUUUAAUCGUGACCACCCCUCUACAAUCCAACGAUGCCAGGGUCGUCUCCCUCACCAGAUUCAAUCCUAGCCAUCCACAGCCGAACGAACGGCCAAGAGGCCAUCACCGACCUCCGGCCAGAUCCUCUAAGACGCGCAGGCAUCCCACGAUGGCGCUAGCCGCCGGCGAGGCCACGGACGACGCCCCGCUGCUCAAUCCACGAACCAACGAAUUCAAUCGCCACAAGAAGGACAAAGCGAAGGAUGCAGAGAGGGUCUUACCAGACAUCAGAGCUGUGAAACCGUUCGCCGCGCAGAGACAGCCAGUGGCGGCGCAAUCCUUCCCCAGAUCUCGUGCUGUGGUCGAGGACGAGCUUGGCCAAACCGAUCCAAACCUCUGCGUGAAUCAUGGAGAACCGGUGAAGCCGCCCUCACUCAGCCCACCGCCAGAAGCGAAGCUCGUUUCGAGUCGUGGCUUCGGGAAGAGGACGACCCGUCAGGAGGGGCCCACGCGCCAGUGGUGUGAGACGGAAGAGCACGCGUGCGGCCGGCUGACACGGCGGACUCAAUCUCGCCCACGCACCUCCCUCCCCCACAGCGGCGACGGCGACCCGGAAGUUCUGCCCUGGCGCACGCGCGAGGAUAGGGAAGAUGUUCUGGGCGACCCUGCGACACCUCCAAACCUGUAGAUGUCUUGGAUGCUUCUCCUCAACCCAGCGCCCUUCCGCGAGACCGAGGUUGGCGGCCCCUCAUUGCUGCAGCGGUGCUGCACGGUUCAUCCAAGGAGUCGCCAUCCAAGCUCUCACCCCGCGCGGCAAGGAGCUCUCGGCGGCCAUCCAAUCUUCCUCCAUGUGGUGAAGCAGCACCGAGCGGCACACGCAGUUGACUAUGACCCCUAGCGGCUGAUCUGUCCCUUCCCCGCCAUGGCGCACAAUGGUGG